GUGGCCGGAAGGGGCGUGGCCCGAUCGGGGCGCCAAGGCGUAGACCCCUGCCACCGCGCUUCCUUUUCCGCGCAGUCUCCGAAGGUGGAUGGCGUUUGGGCCGACCUUAGCUAUGCCUUCAGGGCGGUGGCAGCGCCUGCGGCUCGGUCCCCAGGCUCUUCGAGGUACAACAAAUUCUGUGCAUUUUGAAGAUAUAUGAAGGUUGUGAACGAAUGUUUUUCAAAAACUUGUCAUAGAAGAUGACUGAAGAAAAUUAUUACUACAAUUGCAUGUAACAAGCCUAUAGGUAGCUGCAAAUGAAUGCAUAAGUCCUCUGGUGGCAGUUAAAAAUACAUCACUGCCUCAUAAUGCAACAUGUUAGAAGGAACAAUGAAGAAUUGGUCAAGAAAACAUGAACAGAAGCAAAUGAUACAAAUAUUUGAUGUUGAAAAAUUCACAAAUUAUGUAGAAAAAGACUAAUUGUAAUUGCUGAAUAAUAAAUUCUUUUCUUUAAAAUACA